AGUGAACGCUGGCGGUAGGCCUAACACAUGCAAGUCGAACGGCAGCACAGUAAGAGCUUGCCCUUACGGGUGGCGAGUGGCGGACGGGUGAGGAAUACAUCGGAAUCUACUUUUUCGUGGGGGAUAACGUAGGGAAACUUACGCUAAUACCGCAUACGACCUACGGGUGAAAGCAGGGGAUCUUCGGACCUUGCGCGAUUGAAUGAGCCGAUGUCGGAUUAGCUAGUUGGCGGGGUAAAGGCCCACCAAGGCGACGAUCCGUAGCUGGUCUGAGAGGAUGAUCAGCCACACUGGAACUGAGACACGGUCCAGACUCCUACGGGAGGCAGCAGUGGGGAAUGUUGGACAAUGGGCGCAAGCCUGAUCCAGCCAUACCGCGUGGGUGAAGAAGGCCUUCGGGUUGUAAAGCCCUUUUGUUGGGAAAGAAAAGCAGCAGGUUAAUACCCCGCUGUUCUGACGGUACCCAAAGAAUAAGCACCGGCUAACUUCGUG
rnacentral:rRNA from 1 species